rnacentral:lncRNA from 1 species
GAGGAGCAGAUGGCCGCUCCGGGGCGGAGCCCGUGAGCGUCAGGGGAGCGGGAGAGCCAAUCCGUCCCUGCAGCAGCGCGGGAGAGAGCCAACGAGAUGGGUGUCUAUGCAUAAAGAAGACAGCAACAUGAAGCUGAGAUUGAUUCCCAUUGGUACUGAAUCAGAACUCAUAGAAACAAGUAAAUCUCCUUGGAAAUUAUCACCUAUCAGGUCACCAUCACACCAAGGCACUCGAAGAGACAUUGACGGCGAAAAGGAAUUGAACUCAAUGGGAAAGCACGGCACCAUGAAGGAGCCACCAUGCAAGGGCAGCAAGUGAAUCCAGGGGAGGUCUGUC